rnacentral:rRNA from 1 species
CCUACGGGUGGCUGCAGUGGGGAAUAUUGCACAAUGGGGGAAACCCUGAUGCAGCAACGCCGCGUGAGCGAUGAAGGCCUUCGGGUCGUAAAGCUCUGUCCUAAGGGAAGAAUACUGACGGUACCUUGGAGGAAAGCCCGGCUAAACUACGGCCAGCAGCCGCGGUAAAACGUAGGGGGGUAGCGGUAUCCGGAAUUACUGGGGCGUAAGGGUGCGUAGGCGGCCCUUCCAGUCAGAGGUGAAAGGCUACGGCUCAACCGUAGUAAGCCUUUGAAACUGUAGGGCUUGAGUGCAGGAGAGGAGAGUGGAAUUCCCAGUGUAGCGGUGAAAUGCGUAGAUAUUGGGAGGAACACCAGUUGCGAAGGCGGCUCUCUGGACUGUAACUGACGCUGAGGCACGAAAGCGUGGGGAGCGGACAGGAUUAGAUACCCGUGUAGUC